GUUGAUCAAGGAAUAUUCCAUCUGAUAUACAGGAAGACACUAAAGACUGCUAGCUAUUGGAAUGCUUGCUUGGAUAUGGCUAUAUUUAUUUGCUGCCUUGAUCUUUAUGAUGUCUGGAUAUCACUCAUUGCUUAUUGCUUAUUGCUUGAUUAAAGUCCAAAGGAAAAUGAGUUUCUAUAUGACAUUAUUGUUUGUUGGAUUUCAUCCCAUUGGUCAGAUCUUUUCAACUCUUAACUUUUAAAUUUUUGAUUAGGGUAGUCCCUU
rnacentral:lncRNA from 1 species